UGGGGAAUUUUGGACAAUGGGCGCAAGCCUGAUCCAGCCAUGCCGCGUGCGGGAAGAAGGCCUUCGGGUUGUAAACCGCUUUCAGACGGAAAGAAAUCGCCAGGGCUAAUAUCCCUAGUGGAUGACGGUACCGUCAGAAGAAGCACCGGCUAAUUACGUGCCAGCAGCCGCGGUAAUACGUAGGGUGCGAGCGUUAAUCGGAAUUACUGGGCGUAAAGCGUGCGCAGGCGGUUUCUUAAGCAAGAUGUGA
rnacentral:rRNA from 1 species